rnacentral:rRNA from 1 species
CGCGUAGGUGGUAGUGAAAGUCUAUGGUGGAAUCUUAGGGCUUAACCCUAAAACUGCCUUGGAAACUUCAUUACUUGAGUCAGUGAGGGGAGGGUAGAAUUCCUGGUGUAGCGGUGAAAUGCGUAGAUAUCAGGAGGAAGGCCGGUGGCGAAGGCGGCCCUCUGGCGCUGAACUGACGAUGAGGCGCGAAAGCGUGGGUAGCAAACAGGAUUAGAUACCCUGGUAGUCCACGCCCUAAACGGUGGGUACUAGGUGUAGGGCUCGUAAGGGUUCUGUGCCGAAGGGAAACCAUUAAGUACCCCGCCUGGGGAGUACGGCCGCAAGGUUGAA